CCCGAGCCCGCACCUUGCCGCCGCAUUGUUGUUAGGGAAAAGGGAGACGCGAUGAUAGGGAAAGGGAGGAGCUACAGCCGCCGCGCCUGGUCUCCGUUGUCGCUGAACUUCGACCGCCGCCGUUGAAGCCACGGUCGCUGUCGUCUUUGAGUGCCAGAGAAAGAAAGAGAACUCGAGGAAGAGAAGGACGCGAUAGAGGUGAAAAACGUUGUUCCGCUAUGCAUCGUCGCCGUUCUGGGCUGCACCGCCGUGGAUGUGGCCGCCGGAAACUGCCGCGAGAACCUCUAUCUUCUGGGGUUGAGUUCCGAUGAUUUCAUGUCAAAAUUAAGAUUGCCAUUGAACCACCGUAACUUCUGGCCGUGCCUCUGUCGCCGGACAACACCGCUGCCGCCUGGAACCUCCAUUGAAGUCUGUAUCUGUGUGGAUGUAUGAUCACAUGGUCACUGCAAGUUUUUCUGUCCUGGGCCACCAUUAGAGCCGCCCAAGCGGUGUUGAAAUCGCUGCUGCUAUGUGUUCUUUUAUAAGAUCAAAAGCCGAGCUUACACGUAGCAUUUGAAGCUAUUUCUGCUUUUGGGAAAGCAAGCGGAGCAGAGGCUUCAGUUGCUGCUGAAUUUGGGCUGAGAGAAACGAGUUCAGUUGACGCGUUUGGAUUAUGGUUUCGCGUAUCGAGUCUCCUAUGUUCCAUCAGCACCGCCACUCAAUUUCCUUCUCCCCUCUUCAUUGAGUUCACAAACAUCACUGAGAGAGAAAGAGAUCCAAGAAGAGAGAGCACUGACGGGAGAGGAAGACCGCGUAGCUCGCCGACGUCGCGCCACGCCCAACCGCGUCACUGGUUGCCGGCUGCGCUUGCUGUUUGCACCAUGCCACUGCCCAAUCGAACUGCUGCAUGUGAGAAGCUGUGCCGUCAUUGUCGUUGCAGCCCCAUCCAUGGAUCCCGAGCCCGCACCUUGCCGCCGCAUUGUUGUUAGGGAAAAGGGAGACGCGAUGAUAGGGAAAGGGAGGAGCUACAGCCGCCGCGCCUGGUCUCCGUUGUCGCUGAACUUCGACCGCCGCCGUUGAAGCCACGGUCGCUGUCGUCUUUGAGUGCCAGAGAAAGAAAGAGAACUCGAGGAAGAGAAGGACGCGAUAGAGGUGAAAAACGUUGUUCCGCUAUGCAUCGUCGCCGUUCUGGGCUGCACCACCGUGGAUGUGGCCGCCGGAAACUGCCGCGAGAACCUCUAUCUUCUGGGUAAGCAUUUUUUUUUGUUUCCGGAAGCUUUGAAAUCAGUAUUUCGAUAUAAGUUGUCACAGAUUCUGAGUUGUUGGUAGUGUAGGGUU